rnacentral:rRNA from 1 species
UACGAAGGACCCGAGCGUUAUCCGGAGUUAUUGGGCCUAAAGCAUCCGUAGCCGGUUCUACAAGUCUUCCGUUAAAUCCACCUGCUUAACAGAUGGGCUGCGGAAGAUACUAUAGAGCUAGGAGGCGGGAGAGGCAAGCGGUACUCGAUGGGUAGGGGUAAAAUCCGUUGAUCCAUUGAAGACCACCAGUGGCGAAGGCGGCUUGCCAGAACGCGCUCGACGGUGAGGGAUGAAAGCUGGGGGAGCAAACCGG